GGAAUUCCGUACGCCGUCAUAGAGUAGUUGAAAAACAUAAAGGGGUUCCGAAAGUACAAGUUGUUGCUGUGACUGACUCGAUGAUUGAGGGGGUCGUCUCGACGAAAGAUAGAGACAGUUGGCCAUAGUUUAGAUUAGGAAUACGUCAAUGUAAUAAUAGUGGACCAAAUGUUUCGUCCGUGCAGAAUGGCACUUUUUACCUCACGACCAUGCAUAGCUGCGCUACGUAAACAAUUUUACAAAGUUGUUGAUGUAGCGUGAUCGUGAUGUCCGACUCCGAGUACGAGUGCUGCGAGUUUCAAUACUGUUUAUGUAGUCAUUGAGAGUUUAAACAAAGUUUCUUCUGAGAAGAGAAAUUCGAUGGAUGCAUUCAACGUGGAUAACGAGAUUAUAAUUUCGUUUGUAUCAUCCUAAGGACAAGUGCAAGUUGAAAUGGAUUUCGAGUCAACAACUUCAACAGCAAUUUGCCUUGAAAAUCAGCAAGAAAGGUACUUCAUUUACAUUGAUGAUGUCAUAUCCCCUGAACCCCACAACUUUACAGGUUACAGAGAAAAUUCAAGAACUUCUGCUAGUGAUGAAACGAUUGUCGCCGAUGAUCGAUUGUCGGUCGUUCAGAGACCUACGAUGCUACUAAUCGAUUACAAAAUAAAAGUCGCCGACAUCGUUGACCAAAUAAAAUCCGGAAAUCACUUCAACUUUGUUCAAAUUUUAUUUUCUGUAUGUCAAACCCGAUCAAAAAUAAGCAAAGAAAAUGGCGGAAGAUAUGAAGGACCAAUCUCUCACCAGAGGGCGUAUUACGCUGCGCUACAACACCUCUGUCAACGUCUAAAUGUCAAGAUUCUUGGCAAAACUUACCUAUACCUAUAGCAUCAUGGAUAAUAAUUUUAUAAGUUUAAGUUUUAUGCUUUAAAUCUUAAAGUAGGUUCACAAAAAACAACGAAUUUCAUGGUAUUACUAGUAUUAUUGAAUAAAUGAAUAUUUAUAUAAACCUUCUAAUUCGCUCAGGUGUCUCAUAUUUACCAUCUUCUGAUUUUAAAAAAAUUCAGAGAAGUGUUUGAUUUGCUCAGAUAUUAUCAUUACAGUUCGAUAUGCUAAGUUAGUUUUUGUACAUUUUGAUAUAACUUUUUAAAUAGACGUUGACAGAGGUAUUAGUGGAGCGUAGCGGGAACGAUAACUCUGGGUAGAGAUUGAUGAAGGACGGUAACAACGACAUUCAACAGUCAAAUAAAGGAGCCUAUAUCUGAUAUCUUUGAUACAUUGAGAUUAUAGAUAAAUUCCAUUACUUGAUAUAUUGGAAUUCUGAUUUAUAUACCAGUGAAUAAAUGAAACAAAGAAAAAUUCAAAUGUUGUUUCCAUACAUUUAAUGAUUCUGUUACAUCUAAUUUGAGGGGAAAACACUUAAAUGCCGAUUCCGAUUAUAAUCGAUUAUUAAUCGAUUACAUGUGUCCGAUUAUUGCCGAUAAUCGAUUGUGGUAUUAGGUCCGAUUGCCCAUCACUAACUUCUGCACAAUGUGGGACUCGGAUAGAAUCAAUAAUGUAUUUGUGAGCCCAGAUAUAUUGUGCAACAUACUAAAGUGUGAAUUUAGUUGAAAACAAGUACAUGUACUCAUGUAUACUAUUAUAUGUCUUUCUUAAAGACAAUAAUAUUGCAUAAAUGUAGAUGAAGUGUCAUUGUUGAUUAUUCUAAGUUUUUGAUAUAUCAAAAUCAGUAAACAUUUCUAAAUGAAAAUAAAAUACCAAUUUUAUAACUUUUAAUCAAUGUGUUUGAAUUUCUCAUUUUCUACCCCCCCCCCCCCCCCCCAACACAUUCAGUGCAUAUAUACCGUGAACUUGGAGAAAUUACAAAUAGAUAAUGCAGUAUGCAUGCAUUCUGAGUUAUCCAAUAGCGAGCUUUUGUUUCAGUGUGAGACUACAAGUAGGACUCAUAAACUUAUGAAGAUACAUAUAUAUUUGUGAGAGCAACCGGCGCGAGCCCCCCUAAAAUUUUCAAGUUUAAGGUAAAUCGUGGUAUGUUGUUUAGAAAAAUGUAUACGAUAAAAGAAGCAAUAAUUUCCUCCACUCUCGGAGAAAUAAAUGUCUGACAAAACAUUUUGAUUUAUUGAAUUACUCUUAGACCCCUGCCUCAUACAGUC